AACGAACGCUGGCGGCAUGCCUAACACAUGCAAGUCGAACGAGACCUUCGGGUCUAGUGGCGCACGGGUGCGUAACGCGUGGGAACCUGCCCGUAGGUUCGGAAUAACUCCCCGAAAGGGGUGCUAAUACCGGAUAAUGUCUUCGGACCAAAGAUUUAUCGCCUUUGGAUGGGCCCGCGUUGGAUUAGCUUGUUGGUAGGGUAAAAGCCUACCAAGGCUACGAUCCAUAGCUGGUCUGAGAGGAUGAUCAGCCACACUGGGACUGGGACACGGCCCAGACUCCUACGGGAGGCAGCAGUGGGGAAUAUUGGACAAUGGGCGAAGGCAUGAUCCAGCAAUGCCGCGUGAGUGAUGAAGGCCUUAGGGUUGUAAAGCUCUUUUACCCGGGAUGAUAAUGACAGUACCGGGAGAAUAAGCUCCGGCUAACUCCGUG
rnacentral:rRNA from 1 species